rnacentral:misc_RNA from 1 species
AAGUCGUAACAAGGUUUCCGUAGGUGAACCUGCGGAAGGAUCAUUAAAAGAGUAGGGUCUCACGGCCUGACCUCCAACCCUUUGUCGUUCAAAAACCAAUGUUGCUUUGGCGGGACCGCCGGCGUCAAAACCCGGCUGCCGGUCUUCGGUUUGGUAAGCGCCCGCCAGAGUCAAAUCAAACUCUUGUUUUAACUGGUAGUCUGAGAAAAUGUUAAAUCAAUCAAA